CCCGCCGCGCGCGGCGGGCGGGGCGGGGGCACGGGGGGAACGCGAAGAACCUUACCUACUCUUGACAUCCAGAGAACUUAGCAGAGAUGCUUUGGUGCCUUCGGGAACUCUGAGACAGGUGCUGCAUGGCUGUCGUCAGCUCGUGUUGUGAAAUGUUGGGUUAAGUCCCGCAACGAGCGCAACCCUUAUCCUUUGUUGCCAGCGGUUCGGCCGGGAACUCAAAGGAGACUGCCAGUGAUAAACUGGAGGAAGGUGGGGAUGACGUCAAGUCAUCAUGGCCCUUACGAGUAGGGCUACACACGUGCUACAAUGGCGCAUACAAAGAGAAGCGACCUCGCGAGAGCAAGCGGACCUCAUAAAGUGCGUCGUAGUCCGGAUUGGAGUCUGCAACUCGACUCCAUGAAGUCGGAAUCGCUAGUAAUCGUAGAUCAAAAUGCUACGGUGAAUACGUUCCCGGGUCUUGUACACACCG
rnacentral:rRNA from 1 species